GGGAUCGAUUAGGAUUUGGUUAAGGUUUGUUUAGGAUUUGAUUAAGAUUUGGUUAAGAUUUUUUUAGGAUUUGAUUAAGAUUUGGUUAAGAUUUUUUUAGGAUUUGAUUAAGGUUUGUUUAGAUUUUGUUUAGGAUUUGGUUAGGAUUUGGUUAGGAUUUGGUUAGGAUUUGGUUAAGAUUUUUUUAGGAUUUGAUUAGGAUUUGGCUAAGAUUUAUUAGGAUUUGAGUAGAUUUUUAUUAGAAUUUAAUUAAGAUUUCUAUUUUAAUAUUUUAUUAAGAUUUAAAUUUUAGUAUAU
rnacentral:lncRNA from 1 species